rnacentral:rRNA from 2 species
AUGAUACUUACAUUUGANNNGUGAGUGGCGAACUGGUGAGUAACACGUGGGAAACCUGCCCAGAAGCGGGGGAUAACACCUGGAAACAGAUGCUAAUACCGCAUAACAACUUGGACCGCAUGGUCCGAGUUUGAAAGAUGGCUUCGGCUAUCACUUUUGGAUGGUCCCGCGGCGUAUUAGCUAGAUGGUGGGGUAACGGCUCACCAUGGCAAUGAUACGUAGCCGACCUGAGAGGGUAAUCGGCCACAUUGGGACUGAGACACGGCCCAAACUCCUACGGGAGGCAGCAGUAGGGAAUCUUCCACAAUGGACGAAAGUCUGAUGGAGCAACGCCGCGUGAGUGAAGAAGGGUUUCGGCUCGUAAAACUCUGUUGUUAAAGAAGAACAUAUCUGAGAGUAACUGUUCAGGUAUUGACGGUAUUUAACCAGAAAGCCACGGCUAACUACGUGCCAGCAGCCGCGGUAAUACGUAGGUGGCAAGCGUUGUCCGGAUUUAUUGGGCGUAAAGCGAGCGCAGGCGGUUUUUUAAGUCUGAUGUGAAAGCCUUCGGCUCAACCGAAGAAGUGCAUCGGAAACUGGGAAACUUGAGUGCAGAAGAGGACAGUGGAACUCCAUGUGUAGCGGUGAAAUGCGUAGAUAUAUGGAAGAACACCAGUGGCGAAGGCGGCUGUCUGGUCUGUAACUGACGCUGAGGCUCGAAAGUAUGGGUAGCAAACAGGAUUAGAUACCCUGGUAGUCCAUACCGUAAACGAUGAAUGCUAAGUGUUGGAGGGUUUCCGCCCUUCAGUGCUGCAGCUAACGCAUUAAGCAUUCCGCCUGGGGAGUACGGCCGCAAGGCUGAAACUCAAAGGAAUUGACGGGGGCCCGCACAAGCGGUGGAGCAUGUGGUUUAAUUCGAAGCUACGCGAAGAACCUUACCAGGUCUUGACAUACUAUGCAAAUCUAAGAGAUUAGACGUUCCCUUCGGGGACAUGGAUACAGGUGGUGCAUGGUUGUCGUCAGCUCGUGUCGUGAGAUGUUGGGUUAAGUCCCGCAACGAGCGCAACCCUUAUUAUCAGUUGCCAGCAUUAAGUUGGGCACUCUGGUGAGACUGCCGGUGACAAACCGGAGGAAGGUGGGGAUGACGUCAAAUCAUCAUGCCCCUUAUGACCUGGGCUACACACGUGCUACAAUGGAUGGUACAACGAGUUGCGAACUCGCGAGAGUAAGCUAAUCUCUUAAAGCCAUUCUCAGUUCGGAUUGUAGGCUGCAACUCGCCUACAUGAAGUCGGAAUCGCUAGUAAUCGCGGAUCAGC